rnacentral:tRNA from 2 species
GCUCAGUCGGUAGAGCAGGGGAUUGAAAAUCCCCGUGUCCUUGGUUCGAUUCCGAGUCCGGGCACCA